rnacentral:rRNA from 1 species
CGGGGGUACACGAGUGGCGAACGGGUGAGUAACACGUGGGUGACCUGCCCUGCACUUCGGGAUAAGCCUGGGAAACUGGGUCUAAUACCGGAUAGGACCGCACCGUGAGGGUGUGGUGGAAAGUUUUUUCGGUGUGGGAUGGGCCCGCGGCCUAUCAGCUUGUUGGUGGGGUAAUGGCCUACCAAGGCGGCGACGGGUAGCCGGCCUGAGAGGGUGGACGGCCACAUUGGGACUGAGACACGGCCCAGACUCCUACGGGAGGCAGCAGUGGGGAAUAUUGCACAAUGGGCGGAAGCCUGAUGCAGCGACGCCGCGUGGGGGAUGACGGCCUUCGGGUUGUAAACUCCUUUCACCAUCGACGAAGGGUUUCUGACGGUAGAUGGAGAAGAAGCACCGGCUAACUACGUGCCAGCAGCCGCGGUAAUACGUAGGGUGCGAGCGUUGUCCGGAAUUACUGGGCGUAAAGAGCUCGUAGGUGGUUUGUCGCGUCGUCUGUGAAAUUCCGGGGCUUAACUCCGGGCGUGCAGGCGAUACGGGCAUAACUUGAGUACUGUAGGGGAGACUGGAAUUCCUGGUGUAGCGGUGAAAUGCGCAGAUAUCAGGAGGAACACCGGUGGCGAAGGCGGGUCUCUGGGCAGUAACUGACGCUGAGGAGCGAAAGCAUGGGGAGCGAACAGGAUUAGAUACCCUGGUAGUCCAUGCCGUAAACGGUGGGCGCUAGGUGUGGGUUUCCUUCCACGGGAUCCGUGCCGUAGCUAACGCAUUA